CAUGAUAAUCCACUGCCUAUUCUUGUAGUUGUCUUUCCAAUUUUUAUUUUUGUUCUUUACAAUGCCCUUACCCAUGUUACAUGGACUUGCAAAGCAGUGUCCAGUUGGGUAUGCAACCAUGUGUAGAGCUCAUCUACUUGGGAUAUUUUCCAUUAUUUUCUAUAGUAACAAUAUCCUAUCAAUGUAGAAGUGUUGGAUAUGGGGUAUCUGCACUUCAAGCUGAAAUUGUCUGGAACUCUGGGUUUUGGUAGGGAAUGUCGCCUACCACCUUUGGAUGAAGAACCGGCGAGGCUUCUAAUGCACCACAAAGCACUGUGGUUGUUUCCACUUUAAGCUUGACAAAAAUCAAGUUAUUCCUUGUAUAUAUAUAUAUAUAUAUU